rnacentral:misc_RNA from 1 species
CAUUGUCAACCCUCAAGCCCUGCUUGCUGUUGGACCCCUCGACGAAAGUUGACGGCCCCAAAGAUAACGACGGUGUUGUGGCAACCCCUAGACGCAAUGAGCUUUAACACGCACGCGUCACAGCGGUGUUGCAACCCAGUCUUUAAACAAUUAUUCCAAGGUUUGACCUCGGAUCAGGUAGGAAUACCCGCUGAACUUAA